rnacentral:rRNA from 1 species
UACGUAGGUGGCAAGCGUUGUCCGGAAUUACUGGGCGUAAAGCGUGCGCAGGCGGUUAUGUAAGACAGUUGUGAAAUCCCCGGGCUCAACCUGGGAACUGCAUCUGUGACUGCAUAGCUAGAGUACGGUAGAGGGGGAUGGAAUUCCGCGUGUAGCAGUGAAAUGCGUAGAUAUGCGGAGGAACACCGAUGGCGAAGGCAAUCCCCUGGACCUGUACUGACGCUCAUGCACGAAAGCGUGGGGAGCAAACAGG